ensembl:lncRNA
CAAGCGUCUUGAAUAUUUUAGUGCUGUUCUGAUUCGGGGAAAGCCAACAAGAUGAAUCUCACGGAAGUCUUUUCCCUCCGGUGUGGAGUGUUUUCAAUGAAUAGGUGAGAUGGUAGUUUUGUCACGAGAGGAUUCUGAAAGAAAAGCCUAAAUCGCACAUCGCUCUCCAACAGACGACAAAAAAUCUGCCCGGCAGCUACUUUGCAAUCAAUUAUAAACCGUGAACAUUGUUUCUCAAACCUGUAAAUUGGCAGCUAACACGAUGAUGUCAAAUCUAAGAGCGUAGAGUGUUGAGGGACGCUGCCAGGUGUGAAGUGGGUGUAGGAGCGUAGCUGGGGAAAUCUUUACAUCAAAUUCAGAGAUCAGCAGAUGGUGGUUUCCAUGUUCAUUGCAAAAAAAGUCGACAUCCCUUGUGCUUCAGCGAGCUCGAUGUAGAAGUGGAUAUUUUGGCGUGUUGAUGUACAAAUGGAAGGGCGAGACAUUGUCCAAAAAGCCCCACAACGGAGACAAUUUGGAUGUGAGAUGAGAUGCUUCGGCUCAGUGAACAGACAUGGCCUCGUUGUGGAACAACCACACGCACUUACCCAACUAGAGGGGUCAGCUCAGAGGACGAGAACACGGAGCCAACCUUCACUCGACCCGACGGACCAACGAGCUGAAUUAGAAAUGUUUCGGCUGCUCGGCCCUGCUGGACCACGGGACGUCUAAGCGAGUCUGCUGUUACACAGUGUGACAGCUGGACUGAUGCGAUCAGACUUGUUUUGAUGCAGUAAACCGCGCGCGUCAGAGACCAGAGACCAGGAAAUGUUAGAAACAAUUUGUCACGACCCAAAUAUACCUUCUGAUUCAGGUUUUUUUUCAUUCCACUCCAGUGAACUACUGGGUCACCGUCGCUAAUAAUGUGGGAUGAGACAGACCUCCGUGAGGACACGGCUCCUUCAGCAUCAACAGCGUUGUAAAAAUAGCAUUGAUUUCCUCCAAACAUUUACACACCAUAUGUGUGAAUAAUCUGUGGGACUGCUCCGGGUGAUAGUUUGAGAUAUAGAGGCAAUUACACAGUAAUAGAUUCAAUCUCAGGCCAAGACAAACAUAAUUGGAGGGGGAGCGCUCGCCUACAGGCCAGAAUAUGGUAUAUUGUCACUGUGAUUAUAGGCACUUGGCGCAGCGUGGUGCUGUUAGCAAUUUAAAAUCAGCACAUGAAUAGCGGACAUUAAAUAAAACGCUUUAGAUCAAGGCUCUGAUUGCACCGACCCGUUUGUGCCAAUUUAAAAACACCCAAUCCGUUUUCCCGGCCUGGCCGGUCGUUGGUGAUAUGAAAGAAGAAAAGGGGGAGGAAAAAAAAAAAUGAAAAAGCAAUCCGCCCGAUGCCGUUUGGUCCCAAAUGCAAAUGUGAUAAUGUGGAUACCCUAAAGAAGAUGAGGCACUCAAAGGAAACAAACGCCGAGUGAACAGAGUGCACGUGUAGAAUUUAUACGACAGGUCAAGCGUGGACG